AAGCAACUUAUCAGGAUGGGAUUCGCGAGAAAAGUAUGUUAAUUACAUUUUUAAAUUACUCUUUACUGUAGUUUUCUAAGCUUCAAUUUAAGAAAACAGUAUACACUUUUAAUAGAGCACAUUAAUCUUAAUAUAGAGCACUAAUCCAAAAAUAGGCACUGCUAAUGUAGAAAAUCGAUAUUUGCUACCGUAUUCUACAAUCAGAACAUAUUAAUUAUAUAUUUGUUAAGAGUCCGGUAGAGAAAAAAAUUCUAAUGGGUUUACAAAGAUCAAAGGCUAACUAAUUUAUUAGUUAGUUCUAACCUUUUAGUACUUUUUAAUCCAAGCCUUGGCAAGUUCAAUCUUCAUACUUUAUAUACUUUUAACUCUAGCACAUUCAUUUUCCUCCACCCUUUCAAUUUAGUUAAGCCCAGUUUCGUUCAGUCCAGUUUCUUGGUUAUGCCA
rnacentral:misc_RNA from 1 species